AGUCCACGGGGCUCGGAUUUAAGGAAACGUGGUCGCUCGGGUCGCUGAGCGGGAGGACUGGGUGCACCCAGAUAAACAAGUCAGACAUGCAGUCGGUAGUGAAGUGAUGAGGCCAGAAACGGCGGGGCCAGGGCGAGGGAGCAUUUUUGUUACGGAAAAGCCCCUGAAACAACAACAGUUGAAGAACAUUAGGUUAGCUGAAAAGCAUUUGGCUCGCCGAGAAGGUUGGCUUGGCUGUUUCGUGCUUGCAGGGCAGCACCUGUUGCAGUGUCCUUGCCCGUAGACGUUUUACCCCCACACCUCCAUUUUUUUAGAACAGUUUUCUCGCAUGGAGCAUUGGUUGGUGAUUUGGCCUGGUUUAGAGGUAUCCAGUUGAUCUGUUGAUGAUCCUUCGUCGAGGAUUCAGGAUCGGAUGGUAUCUCUGUGUGACUGAAAUGAACCACCUGUUGUCUUCAAAUGAAAGGAACACUCAGCGAUGUCUGGAGACAUUUUUGGUUGUCAUAGCUAAGGGGUUGGGGUAGGAGCAGUGGGCUGCUACUGGCAUCUGUUCCUGAAUUCUUUGAGACAUCUGAAUUAUGUUAUCAAGCCUUCAGAAAGGCUCCUGGUGCAGCUGCACUCCAGAGCAGUUCUGCCCUACUGAGUCCUCUUGAAGUUGGAUGGAUUUCCAUGGAAGAGGGGCCUGCAGAGUUGAUAAUCGAACAAAGAAAAGAGAAAAUUAAAUUCACCUAUACCAACCAAGUGGGCAAACGAGGGCAAUCCAAUGUCAAAUAAAGGACGUUUCGAACGUCCAUCUUAACGGACACUUGUUUUAUUGGAAAACCCGGCCAGAAAUGCCCUCAACCCAAAGGUUUUCUUAUGAGCUUUCAGUUUGCAUCUUAAUGCUAUUUUUAUAGCAUCUGGGUUGGUUUUCAUCUACCAUAAAUAGAAAAAAAACAAAACAAAACAAAACAAAACCAACAAACCACUGAGUUGAGGAAUUGAAAAGAUAAUUUGAGCAGAGUGAUGAGUAGGUAGGGUAUGGAAUAAAAAUGCCAGUUCUUCAUAUAGAAAAAUGUUCUAUUCUAGAAAAGGAAAAAAAAAAAACCCUCUUCUGGUUCUAAAAAAAGUCAUUUCAGUGAUUCUUGUUUUGUUCAAUUUGGAAGUGCAGGUAUAGCAAUUCUAAUUUCUUAAAUGCCUACUGCUCUGUAAAUUGAACAGAAAAGAUGUAAUUAAGUGUGUAUAAUUUACUUGAAAUGAAAUUAGGUUCAAAUUUAAUUCUUCCUCUGUGUGCAUUGUAGUGUGGAAAAUGCCAGAUUUUUAAUAAUCUUCCAGAAAAAAAUGACGUUUCCUUAUAUUAGGAUCUAAUAUAAUUGGAAGGAUGCCUGGCUCAGUGGUUGAGCAUCUGCCUUUGGCUCAGGUUGUGAUCCCGGGGUCCUGGGAUCGAGUCCUGCAUCAGGCUCCCUGCGGGGAGCCUUCCUUUCUCUCUGCCUAUGUCUCUGCCUCUCUGUGUGUCUCUCAUGAGUAAAUAAAUAAAAUCUUUUAAAGAGAAAAUAAUAUUCGUGUAGCUUCAGUGGAGACUAUAGGGUUGUGUCUAAUCUAAAGAACAUAUUGAUUCCUAUGGAAGAUCAGGUGGUGUUUCUCCUCUUGCUGUUGACACAUCGUAUACCUCUGAUGGAUGAGGUAGCCCAGGGGCCUCUAGCAAGUCCAUGCUACAACUCCAGCCAGGAUCUAGAGAAUGAAGUUUAUCGGUUUUCCCCUAGAAAAGGGAACUUGUAUUAGUAUCAUACUAAUAUGCCAGAAAAUAGGAACUCACAGCUUUAUCAAGCCUGCCCAAAAUGAGAUCUUAGACAAAUUUCAGAUAUAUUAGAUAGUAUCAAGCCCUGAUCUAAAAGAAAAAUAAUGACCAUAUUGUGUGAUUACUCUGUGCCAGGCUGUACUUAAGUGUGUCGUUUAUCACAUCAUUUAAUUCUUUUACCAGCCCUGUGAAAUAGGUACUAUUAAUAUUUCCAUUUAACAGAUGAAGAAACUGAGACUAAGAAAUGUUCAUUUAUUUCCCCAAGAUCACAUUGCCAGUAUGUGUUGGGACUGUGAUGUACAGUGUGUGUGUGUGUGUGUGUGUGUGUGUGUGUGUGAGAGAGAGAGAGAGAGAGAGACAGAGAGAGAGAGAGAGAGAGAGUGAUCUACCUCUUGAAAGAUACUUUACUCUUGCCUCUGUUCCUACACAAAGUCCUCUAGGCUACACAUAGUAUUGUUGUGAUAGAGGAGUUGGAAUAUAAAGUUUCUGUGAGUACCAUAUUACUAAAUGGUACAGUGUUUUAUGAACAAACUGGAUACAAAUAAAUUUUUAGCAUUCCCUAUAAAGCAGCACAAGGUAUAAAUGUGAUAUUUUGAAACCAGGACAUUCUUUUUUUUUUUUUUUUAAACCAGGACAUUCUUU